rnacentral:misc_RNA from 1 species
GUAGGUGAACCUGCGGAAGGAUCAUUACCGAGUUCAUGCCCGUAAAGGGUAGACCUCCCACCCGUGUAUAUGUCUACUUUGUUGCUUUGGCGGGCCGCCGCAAGGCCCCGGCCGCUCCCGGCCGGGCCGCGCCCGCCAGAGGACCCCCAAACUCGAACUGUGAGUGUCGUCUGAGUACUAUCUAAUAGUUAAAACUUUCAACAACGGAUCUCUUGGUUCUG